rnacentral:rRNA from 1 species
UUAUUUCAGAAGCAAUUAGCUUGCUAAGAGUGGAAUAGAGGAUAACUUAGUGGCGGACGGGUGAGUAACGCGUGGGGAACCUGCCCUGCACCGGGGGAUAACACCUGGAAACAGGUGCUAAUACCGCAUAAGCGCACGAGGCCGCAUGGCCAGGUGUGAAAAACUAAGGUGGUGCAGGAUGGACCCGCGUCUGAUUAGCUUGUUGGUAGGGUAACGGCCUACCAAGGCGACGAUCAGUAGCCGGCCUGAGAGGGUGAACGGCCACAUUGGGACUGAGACACGGCCCAAACUCCUACGGGAGGCAGCAGUGGGGAAUAUUGGACAAUGGGGGAAACCCUGAUCCAGCGACGCCGCGUGAGUGAAGAAGUAUUUCGGUAUGUAAAGCUCUAUCAGCAGGGAAGAAAAUGACGGUACCUGACUAAGAAGCCCCGGCUAACUACGUGCCAGCAGCCGCGGUAAUACGUAGGGGGCAAGCGUUAUCCGGAUUUACUGGGUGUAAAGGGAGCGUAGACGGCAUAGCAAGUCUGAUGUGAAAGAUCGGGGCUCAACCCCGGGCCUGCAUUGGAAACUGUUAAGCUGGAGUACAGGAGAGGUAAGCGGAAUUCCUAGUGUAGCGGUGAAAUGCGUAGAUAUUAGGAGGAACACCAGUGGCGAAGGCGGCUUACUGGACUGUAACUGACGUUGAGGCUCGAAAGCGUGGGGAGCAAACAGGAUUAGAUACCCUGGUAGUCCACGCCGUAAACGAUGAUUACUAGGUGUCGGUGGGCAUGGGCCCAUCGGUGC